UACGUAGGGGUGCGAGCGUUUGUCCGGAAUUAUUGGGGCGUAAAGGGCUCGUAGGCGGUUUGUCGCGUCGGGAGUGAAAACCAUGGGCUUAACUCAUGGCUUGCUUCCGAUACGGGCAGACUAGAGGUAUGCAGGGGAGAACGGAAUUCCUGGUGUAGCGGUGAAAUGCGCAGAUAUCAGGAGGAACACCGGUGGCGAAGGCGGUUCUCUGGGCAUGUCCUGACGCUGAGGAGCGAAAGUGUGGGGAGCGAACAGG
rnacentral:rRNA from 1 species